AAAUCAGUCGAGACUUCAAAGCGUGCGAACGUGUUUCACGGAGCUCCCGACAAACCAGAAAAUGAGUCGAGCUACAGUGCAAACCUAUCCAAGUGCACAAAGUUUGAAGCCAAAGUUCCAAUGCAUCUCCUCAAACCACCACUCGUACUACCAGCUCUCCACUACCAGUACAAUGUUAAUAUUUGUUUAUUGUAAAUAACUGGAUAAGGCAUGAUCAAGUGUGCUUUACAUGCACAGACUGAUCUUGCAGUUUACAAUAUCAUUCAUGUAAGCACUGUACCUGAAGAUAUUCCCAAAAUAUAAAGUGUAAUUCAGUGUAAAUAACAGCAUGAAAACAUUAAUAAAAACUACUUGUUGUUUGA